rnacentral:rRNA from 1 species
GAUGAACGCUAGCGGCAGGCCUAAUACAUGCAAGUCGGACGGGAUUGGGGAGCUUGCUCCCCAUGAGAGUGGCGCACGGGUGCGUAACACGUAUGUAACCUACCCUUGUCAGGGGGAUAGCCUCUCGAAAGAGAGAUUAACACCGCAUAACAUUAUUGGAUGGCAUCAUUUAAUAAUCAAAUAUUUAUAGGACAAGGAUGGGCAUGCGGGACAUUAGCUAGUUGGUAGGGUAACGGCUUACCAAGGCUACGAUGUCUAAGGGAUAUGAGAGGAUGGCCCCCCACACUGAUACUGAGACACGGACCAGACUCCUACGGGAGGCAGCAGUAAGGAAUAUUGGUCAAUGGGCGCAAGCCUGAACCAGCCAUGCCGCGUGCAGGAAGACGGCCCUACGGGUUGUAAACUGCUUUUGCGCCGGAAUAAACCCUUUUACGAGUAAGAGGCUGAAUGUACGGCGAGAAUAAGGAUCGGCUAACUCCGUGCCAGCAGCCGCCGCAG